GGGCGCUUAGCUCAGUUGGUUAGAGCUCCUCGCUUACACCGAGGAGGUCGGGGGUUCGAGUCCCUCAGCGCCCACUA
rnacentral:tRNA from 1 species